rnacentral:tRNA from 1 species
CCAGCUGUUACCAAAGUAGAGGAAUGUACUAAAGCCCUUACAGGAGUUGGAGCUGCUAUUGCUGCUGGU